CAAGAAGUUCUGUCAAAAGAGAAGGAGGAGGCCAGGAGAAGAAUGAAGACUUGAUUGAGGACCCAAAGGAUGACCAAGAAGAGGUACAGGAGAAAACCCAGAAUUCUGCAGGGUCUUGGCGAUGCAAGUGUCAGAGCCAUUUGAACCAGAGCUACUCCAUCUUGAGUGAGGGCUAAGAAAACUGAGGCUGGGACUUGCUGGGCUGCAUUCCCAGGAGGGUAAGUAUUCCUAGCCUCUAGGUUAACGGAACAGAUUAAUAACGUUUACUAACAGACCCAGACUCAGGAAUGUCCUGAUAUCCUGAUGUCUUAAAAACAAAAGCACUCCUAAUUUUGCUUUAAAGAUAAAUAUCGAUCCUUGCAAAAUAUAGUAAUUAAGAAAACUAAUUGUUUAAAUCACAAACCUUUGUAGUAGAGCAAAUCUCCCCAUUUUUUUGUUAUCCUAUAUAUAAAUAAGCAUUGUACCUAGGGGUAGGCGCGUUCCUCCUCUUACUUUCAGGAACGCCCUACUCUGUCUAUAGAGUAGCUAUUCCUUCACCACUUUACUUCCUUAAUAAAUUUGCUUUUGCUUUGCACUGUGGACUUGCCCCAAAUUCUUUCUUCGGUGAGAUCCAAGAACCCUCUCUUGGGGUCUGGAUCAGGAGCUCUUUCUGGUAACAUAAGAAAAGAAAGAGAAAUUCAUGAAGGAGAGGGUGGUCUACUGUGUGAAAUGCCAAUGAGAGAUUAAG
rnacentral:lncRNA from 10 species